rnacentral:rRNA from 1 species
GACGAACGCUGGCGGCGUGCCUAAUACAUGCAAGUAGAACGCUGAAGAGAGGAGCUUGCUCUUCUUGGAUGAGUUGCGAACAGGUGAGUAACGCGUAGGUAACCUGCCUUGUAGCGGGGGAUAACUAUUGGAAACGAUAGCUAAUACCGCAUAACAAUGGAUGACACAUGUCAUUUAUUUGAAAGGGGCAAUUGCUCCACUACAAGAUGGACCUGCGUUGUAUUAGCUAGUAGGUGAGGUAAUGGCCCACCUAGGCGACGAUACAUAGCCGACCUGAGAGGGUGAUCGGCCACACUGGGACUGAGACACGGCCCAGACUCCUACGGGAGGCAGCAGUAGGGAAUCUUCGGCAAUGGGGGCAACCCUGACCGAGCAACGCCGCGUGAGUGAAGAAGGUUUUCGGAUCGUAAAGCUCUGUUGUAAGUCAAGAACGGGUGUGAGAGUGGAAAGUUCACACUGUGACGGUAGCUUACCAGAAAGGGACGGCUAACUACGUG